AGGGCAGGAUGCCGGAUAACGUCCGGUGGAGGUGACUCCCAGACCAGUGCAACAGAAAUAAACCGCCAUGGCUUCCAUGGUAAGGGUGGAAAGGCAGUGUAAGAGACUACCGCCGUCCUGGUAACAGGCCGGGCACAUGUAAACUCCAUUC
rnacentral:RNase_P_RNA from 1 species